AUGCGGGCUCUGCUCGAAACCCAUCUUCUUCAGCGUGGAGUCCAGCUUGGCGUUCCACGCCCUGGGUGCCUGCCGCAGGCCAUAGAGAGCCUUGCGCAGGCGGAUCACCUUGCCCUCCUGGCCGGGAAUCGUAAACCCCGGUGGCUGAUGCACGUAGACUUCCUCCUUCAAGUCGCCGUUGAGGAAUGCCGACUUAACGUCCAUGUGGUGGACACGCCAGCCCUCCUAGGCAGCCAGCGCAAGGAGAAGUCGCACGGACUCCAUCCGUGCCACGGGAGCGAAAGCGUCGUCGAAGUCGACUCCUUCCUGCUGCAAGAAGCCUCGGGCCACCAAACGAGCCUUGUGCUUGAUGAUGGCGCCCGCUCCAUCCCUCUUCAGCUUGAACACCCACUUAAGGGUGAUUGCGCGGUGACCUCGAGGGAGAUCAGCAAGCUCCCAGGUGCGGUUUUGCUCGAUCGCAUCCAUCUCCAACUUCAUCGCGGCGCGCCAUGCCACGUCUCUCUCGGCCUCUGCAAAGGACCGUGGUUCGCCGUCUUCACACACGAGCUGUAG
rnacentral:rRNA from 1 species